AUGGAGAAACUUAAGUGGAAGCUAAGAUUGAAGGGUUUUGCGGGAGUUUCUAGCGAUGGCCUCAGUGGGGGCCUUGCGCUAUAUUGGGAUGAGAAUCUUCAAGUCACGGUUCUGGACUCGUGUGCACGGUUUAUAGACGUGCGGAUCGUUGAUAGGACAAAUGAUAGGUCUUGGAGAACAACGUAUGUGUACGGUGAACCAAGGACAGAAAAUCGGCAUCGUAUGUGGAGCUUACUUUCAAGCCUUAGAGCAAUUUCUGCAGAACCAUGGUUAGUUUGUGGGGAUUUCAAUGAGGCAAUGCGGCAACACGAGCACUUCGCAUACGCAGCGUUCCGAGACACAAAUACAACUGUUUCGUGA
rnacentral:rRNA from 1 species